rnacentral:rRNA from 1 species
GUUUGAUCCUGGCUCGAAUGAACGCUGGCGGCAGGCCUAACACAUGCAAGUCGAACGGAGUUAUAUUGUAGCUUGCUAUGGUAUAACUUAGUGGCAGACGGGUGAGUAAUGUAUAGGAAUCUACCUAGUAGUACGGAAUAAUUGUUGGAAACGGCAACUAAUACCGUAUACGCCCUACGGGGGAAAAAUUUAUUGCUAUUAGAUGAGCCUAUAUUAGAUUAGCUAGUUGGUGGAGUAAUAGCCUACCAAGGCAAUGAUCUAUAGCUGAUCUGAGAGGAUGAUCAGCCACACUGGAACUGAGAUACGGUCCAGACUCCUACGGGAGGCAGCAGUGGGGAAUAUUGGACAAUGGGCGAAAGCCUGAUCCAGCCAUGCCGCAUGAGUGAAGAAGGCCUUUGGGUUGUAAAGCUCUUUUAGUGAGGAAGAUAAUGACGGUACUCACAGAAGAAGUCCUGGCUAACUCCGUGCCAGCAGCCGCGGUAAUACGGAGAGGGCUAGCGUUAUUCGGAAUUAUUGGGCGUAAAGGGCGCGUAGGCGGAUUAGUAAGUUAAAAGUGAAAUCCCAAGGCUCAACCUUGGAAUUGCUUUUAAAACUGCUAAUCUAGAGAUUGAAAGAGGAUAGAGGAAUUCCUAGUGUAGAGGUGAAAUUCGUAAAUAUUAGGAGGAACACCAGUGGCGAAGGCGUCUAUCUGGUUCAAAUCUGACGCUGAGGCGCGAAGGCGUGGGGAGCAAACAGGAUUAGAUACCCUGGUAGUCCACGCUGUAAACGAUGAAUGUUAAAUAUGGGAAGUUUUACUUUCUGUAUUACAGCUAACGCGUUAAACAUUCCGC